rnacentral:rRNA from 1 species
UACAGAGGUCUCAAGCGUUGUUCGGAUUCAUUGGGCGUAAAGGGUGUGUAGGUGGCGCCGUAAGUCGGGUGUGAAAGCCCCGGGCUCAACCUGGGAAUUGCAUUCGAGACUGCGUAGCUAGGGUGCGGAAGAGGGAAGCGGAAUUUCCGGGUGUAGCGGUGAAAUGCGUAGAUAUCGGAAGGAACACCAGUGGCGAAAGCGGCUUCCUGGUCCAGCACCGACGUUCAGGCACGAAAGCGUGGGGAGCAAACAGG